ACCUUGAAAUAAAAAAACUUGAGAGGGAGCUCCAAGAAGAUGACACAGCUGAAAAUAAAAAUUAGGUAUAUUCUCGUAAAGUCAAGUGAGCCAUGACAUAUGAGCUCUUAUUGUGAGCACACAGGACGGUGGCAUCUUUCUAAGGUUUUUUUUAUUUUCCCAGCAAUCAGUACAACCAAGUCAUCGUUAUAAGGCAUCGCCCUCUUUUGCCCACCCCCCCAGCACCAGGUGUGGCCACUAGCCUAUAUGAAGGCCCAAAAUUGUGUGUUCCUUUCUGCUCUGACAAUGGCAUGCCCAUUCGUGCGAGAUGUGGUGGAUGAAGAAGCACUUGUGCUGAGGAGAGCCUUCAGGCGAGAAAGGGUCUUCAGGGACCGGUUGGACCCACUGGCCUUCCCUGAUGACCAUCUAUAUGAAAGAUACAGGUUUUCUGCAGAUGGCAUCAGGUAUCUAUGCAGACUACUGGGUCCCAGGAUUAAGCACCGCACUGCACGGAGCCAUGCACUGAGUGUGGAGCAAAUGGUUUGUGUGGCCUUGCGCUUUUUUGCUAGUGGAGCCUUCCUGUACUCAGUGGGGGAUGCAGAACAGCUGAACAAGGCCACAAUUUGCCGCACAAUAAGGAGUGUGUGUCUGGCUAUCAAAGCAUUAGCAGAUGUCUUCAUCUCCUUCCCUGGCCACAGAAGACUCUGUGACAUCAAAGAGGAGUUCUAUAGGAUUGCAAGUAAGAGGAUCUACAAAUUACAGGACAACUGUUAACACAUAGUAGGAUACUCAUUACUUUGUGUGACAGGUUUCCCCAAUGUCAUUGGUGCAGUGGACUGCACACACAUAAGGAUAAAAGCCCCCUCAGGUGCCCAUGAGGCCGAUUUUGUGAAUAGGAAAUCCUUUCACAGCAUUAAUGUUCAGAUGGUCUGCAAUGCUGACUGUGUGAUCAGCAAUGUUGUGGCAAAAUGGCCUGGCUCAGUCCAUGACUCCAGAAUCUUUCGGGCCUCUGAAAUCUAUCAGUGCCUAUCACAAGGUGAAUUCUCUGGUGUGUUGCUGGGAGACAGGGGGUAUGGCUGCCAGCCUUUUCUCCUGACACCUUUCACAGACCCCCAGGAAGCACAGCAGGCCUACAACCAUGCCCAUGCCAGGACCAGGGCCAGAGUUGAAAUGACCUUUGGCCUCCUGAAGGCACGCUUUCACUGCCUUCACAAAUUAAGGGUCAGCCCUGUUAGGGCAUGUGAUAUUACUGUGGCUUGUGCUGUCCUCCACAAUGUGGCCUGCCUGAGGAAGGAGAGGGCCCCCAGAGUGCCACCAGACAUGGACUGGGACAAUCCGGCAAUCUUCCCUGAUGACGACAGUGGUCGGCUGCUGAGGGACCAAUAUGUGUUGAAUUAUUUUAGUUAGUAUGUGUGCUUUCAAUUUUGGUUAAAUAUGUCCUGCGGUGGCAGAGGAAUUUGGGUUUUUUUGGGUUCGUUUUUUUACGAAUUUGGCCUCUUAUGAUGUUUGUGCGGUAUACUGUGUGUAAUACAAGGCUGCAGGGAGGCUACUGCAUCCAUUCAUUUGUCUGUUCAGUUGAUGUGUAUGGAUUUGUCCUGCAUUUAUUUUAGUGUGCAGACAUGCAGGGUGUGUUAUAUACAGACCUUUGAAUGUGUAUGUAUCAUUUUGUAUAAUAUGCUUGGAUUCUGUGCUUUCCAUCUUGUAGAGUCACUGUGACUUCAGUUUCGAAAGGAGCUGAUGGUUUACCUGCUUUGUUUUGUCCUUAUUCAAUAAAGGAACAUAAUGUUA